rnacentral:rRNA from 1 species
UACGUAGGGCGCAAGCGUUGUCCGGAAUUAUUGGGCGUAAAGAGCUCGUAGGUGGUUUGUUACGUCUGCUGUGAAAACCUAGGGCUUAACCCUGGGCCUGCAGUGGAUACGGGCAGACGUAGAGGUAGGUAGGGGAGAAUGGAAUUCCCGGUGUAGCGGUGAAAUGCGCAGAUAUCGGGAGGAACACCGGUGGCGAAGGCGGUUCUCUGGGCCUUACCUGACACUGAGGAGCGAAAGCGUGGGGAGCGAACAGG